rnacentral:rRNA from 1 species
UACGUAGGGUGCGAGCGUUAAUCGGAAUUACUGGGCGUAAAGCGUGCGCAGGCGGUUGUGCAAGACAGAUGUGAAAUCCCCGGGCUUAACCUGGGAACUGCAUUUGUGACUGGCGGGCUAGAGUAUGGCAGAGGGGGGUAGAAUUCCCCGUGUAGCAGUGAAAUGCGUAGAGAUGUGGAGGAAUACCGAUGGCGAAGGCAGCCCCCUGGGCCAAUACUGACGCUCAUGCACGAAAGCGUGGGGAGCAAACAGG